rnacentral:lncRNA from 1 species
AUGCUCCAACUCCAUAACUGUUCAGGUCCAUCACCUCAUUACAUUCCUACCCCGUUGAAAAAUAUCUUAAUAAAAACUCCUUCAAAACUCUGCCAAAUUAAAGCACAUCUGAGCAUUAGACUUUGGCAGAGUUUUGAACACUCAAUGCCCAUUGCAAAUUCUUUCUAUCUUAACUCCCUCUUCACAGCCUCCUUCUGACUCUUAAAGGGGUUUGGGUAGGCAGAGACACCUUCCAUUACCUUGCCUCCCCCCGGAGCACAGUCCUGGCCUAUGUAGCCAGCACAAUGACCUGCUUUCUGGCCUUUGCUACCUCUUGUCCCUUCCCAAUCCUAAUGUUGUAAGACUUGGUCCAGAUCUCACGAUCCAGAUCUCUGGCCAACAGGAGAGUUGUUGACCAAUGUCUCUUUCCACUGAGUGGCUCACUAGUCCUGAAAAUAAAAGUGGCUAGCCUUCUCCAUGUCCUGCACACUAAAGAGGUACACAAGCCACAGCCCAGAACACUGCUCUAAUGCCUCCCAUCUCAUGGUAGACAGGGUGAAUACUUUGGUGUGUAUUCCUAACUUUGACCUACUAGCCUAAAAAAACCUCUUCAUUAUUGACCUCCGUGAGCCACAUGAUUGGGACAAUGACUUGGUUAGUAUUCACAUAUGGGUGAAAAUGUCCUUAGAUUUUCACAAGUCUAUACUUGUGAUGGUUUGUAUAUGCUUGGCCCAGGGAAUGACACUAUUAGAAGGUGUCAGAGUAGGUGUGGCCUUGUUGGAGUAGGUCUGUCAUUAUGAGCUUGGGCUUUAAGACCCUCAUCCUAGCUGCCUGGAAGCCAGUAUUCUGCUAGCAGUAUUAAGAUGAAGUUGUAGAACUCUCAGCUCCUCCUGCACCAUGCCUGCCUGGAUGGCACCAUGCUCCCACCUUAAUCAUAAUGGACUAAUUUGAAUCUGAAAGCCAGCCCCAAUUAAAUAUUGUUCUUAUAAGAGUUGCCUCGGUCAUGGUGUCUCUUCCCAGCAGGUAAAACCCUACCUAAGACAAUAAUUAAUAGAACUAGUUUCUAUUCGAAAUAAAGACAUCCUUUCUAUAUUGAAUUGUACAAAAGCCAGAAAGAUCCAUGGACUUUUUGUUGUUGAUGUUAUACCAACAAAUCUCUUUAUUGACAUGUAUUCUAGAAUGUACCCCUCACAUAGCAUCCUCACAGAUUUCAUAAUUUUAUUAACAGUGCUGUGUAUUAAUUUUCUCAUUGCAUUUUCUGUCCUCAUUUUCUUAUAUAUUUCCCUGCACUGUUUAGUUUAAAUGUUUCCCAAUUGUCUUCUUAGUAAAAUAUUGAUGGAAAAAACAUCUUGUAUCACCAAGUAUAAAUACCUCAACCUCUAUUUGUGCUUCAUGAGAUUCUAUUCAUUAGAAAGGGAUGUGUGUGUAUGUAUGUGUAUGUGCGUGUAUGUGUGUUUGUAUGUGUUCUGUGUGCAUGUGUGUGUGUGAUUGUGUAGAUAUACAGAUACACGCACAAAUGUGUGCCCUAAUAGGAUUAUUUCAUUGCUGCUCUUAUAUAUUCCAAGCAUCUAGCAAGGAAUAUUAUUAUGCUAAUGAUUAUGCCUUCUUGCUCAGGAGUCCACAGUCUUCCUAUGUAUAGAGGCAUACACAGGUAUUUAUCCUGAUCUGCACACAUGUGCCUGUCUUCCUGAUCUGAACUAAUGUGCCUGUCUUUAUUUCCUGAUUAUAUAACUUGAAUUUUAUAUGGCCUGGUGAAAGAAAAUUCAAAUUCUCACCUAUAUUAACAAAAUCAUAAAUAAAAUGUCUCAAUCCAUGUGUGUCUUUCACUGUUCUUUUACAAGAUACUUCAGUCAAAUUCCGCAACACACUUUGCCUCAAUCCACUUUUCUUUUUUUUUUAAAUUAGGAAUUUUCUUCAUUUACUUUUCCAAUGGUAUCCCAAGAGUCCCCAAUACCCUUCUUCCCACUCCCCUCCUCCCCACACACUCCCACUUCUUGGCCCUGGUGUUCCCCUGUACUGAGGCAUAUAAAGUUUGCAAGACCAAUGUGCCUCUCUUUCCAAUGAUGGCCGACCUGGCCAGUUUCUGAUACAGAUGCAGCUAGAGACACAAGUUCUGGGGACAGGGGGGUACUGGUUAGUUAACAUUGUUGUUCCACCUAUAGGGUUAGAGACCCCCUUUACCUCCUUGGGUACUUUAUCUACCUCCUCCAUUGGGGGCCGUGUGAUCCAUCUAAUAACUGAUUGUGAGCAUUCACUUCUGUGUUUGUUGGGCCCCUGCAUAGUCUCACAAGAGACAGCUACAUGAGGGUCCUUUCAGCAAAAUCUUGCUAGUGUAUGCAAUGGUGUCAGCAUUUGGUGGCUGAUUAUGGCAUGGAUCCACAGGUAUGGCAGUCUCUAGAUGGUCCAUCCUUUCAUCUAAGCUCCAACCUUGUAUGUGUAACUCCUUCUAAGGGUGUUUUGUUCCUAGUUCUAAGAAGGAGCAAAGUGUCCACAGUUUGGUCUUUGUUCUUCUUGAGUUUCAUGGGUUUUGCCAAUUGUAUCUUGUAUAAUGGGUGUUCUAAGUUUCUGGGCUAAUAUCCACUUAUCAGUGAGUACAUAUUGUGUGAGUUCUUUUGUGCUUGGGUUACCUCACUCAAGAUGGUGCCCUCCAGGUCCAUCCAUUUGCCUAGGAAUUUCAUAAGUUCAAUCUUUGUAAUAGCUGAGUAAUACUCCAUUGUGUAAAAGUGCCUCAUUUUCUGUAUCUGUUCCUCUGUUGAGGGACAUUUGGUUUCUUUCCAACUUCUGGCUAUUAUAAAUAAGGCUGCUAUGAACAUAGUGGAGCAUGUGUCCUUGUUACCAGUUGGAACAUCUUCUGGAUAUAUACCCAUGAGAGGUAUUGCGGGAUCCUCUGUCCAGUUUUCUGAGGAACAACCAGACUGAUUUUCAGAGAGGACCCAUGGCUCUAGCUGCAUAUGUUGCAAAGGAUGGCCUUAUCUGGCAUCAAUGAGAUGGAAUGCACUUGGUCCUGUGAAGGCUAGAUGCUCCAGUGUAGGGGAAUGCUAGGACGGUGAGGUGGGAGUGCAUGGGUGCGUGGGGAAGUACCCUCAUAGAAUCAGGGGGAAGAAGGAUGGGAUUGGGGGUUUGGGGAAGGUGAACUGGGAAAGGUAUAACAGUUGAAAUGUAAAUGAAUGCAAAAUACAAUAAAAACGAAAUU